rnacentral:rRNA from 1 species
GACGAACGCUGGCGGCGUGCCUAAUACAUGCAAGUCGAACGCUUCUUUCCUCCCGAGUGCUUGCACUCAAUUGGAAAGAGGAGUGGCGGACGGGUGAGUAACACGUGGGUAACCUACCCAUCAGAGGGGGAUAACACUUGGAAACAGGUGCUAAUACCGCAUAACAGUUUAUGCCGCAUGGCAUAAGAGUGAAAGGCGCUUUCGGGUGUCGCUGAUGGAUGGACCCGCGGUGCAUUAGCUAGUUGGUGAGGUAACGGCUCACCAAGGCCACGAUGCAUAGCCGACCUGAGAGGGUGAUCGGCCACACUGGGACUGAGACACGGCCCAGAGUCCUACGGGAGGCAGCAGUAGGGAAUCUUCGGCAAUGGACGAAAGUCUGACCGAGCAACGCCGCGUGAGUGAAGAAGGUGUUCGGAUCGUAAAACUCUGUUGUUAGAGAAGAACAAGGACGUUAGUAACUGAACGUCCCCUGACGGUAUCUAGCCAGAAAGCCACGGCUAACUACGUG